GAUCCUGGCUCAGGAUGAACGCUGGCGGCAUGCCUAAUACAUGCAAGUCGAACGAGAGGAAGGAAAGCUUGCUUUUCUGAAUCUAGUGGCGAACGGGUGAGUAACACGUAGGUAACCUGCCCAUGUGCCCGGGAUAACUUCUGGAAACGGAUGCUAAAACCGGAUAGGUAGCAGACAAGCAUUUGACUGCUAUUAAAGUGGCUUUGGCCAUGAACACGGAUGGACCUGCGGUGCAUUAG
rnacentral:rRNA from 1 species